GUGCUAACUUUGACAGCACAUACACUAAAAGUGAAACGUUACAGAGAAGAUUAGCACAGCCACUGUUCAAUAAUGUCACAAAAAUUAAUGAAGUGUUCCCUAUUAAA